UACGUAGGGUGCAAGCGUUAAUCGGAAUUACUGGGCGUAAAGCGUGCGCAGGCGGCUUUGCAAGACAGAUGUGAAAUCCCCGGGCUUAACCUGGGAACUGCAUUUGUGACUGCAUGGCUGGAGUGCGGCAGAGGGGGAUGGGAAUCCGGCGUGUAGCAGUGAAAUGCGUAGAUAUGACGGAGGAACACCGAUGGCGAAGGCAAUCCCCUGGGCCUGCACUGACGCUCAUGCACGAAAGCGUGGGGAGCAAACAGG
rnacentral:rRNA from 1 species